AUUGACCGCUGGCGGCAGGCCUAACACAUGCAAGUCGAACGAGUGGCGGACGGGUGAGUAAUGUCUGGGAAACUGCCCGAUGGAGGGGGAUAACUACUGGAAACGGUAGCUAAUACCGCAUACCAUCGGAUGUGCCCAGCUGGGAUUAGCUAGUAGGUGGGGUAACGGCUCACCUAGGAGACGAUCCCUAGCUGGUCUGAGAGGAUGACCAGCCACACGGGAACUGAGACACGGUCCAGACUCCUACGGGAGGCAGCAGUGGGGAAUAUUGCCCAAUGGGCGCAAGCCUGAUGCAGCCAUGCCGCGUGUAUGAAGAAGGCCUGUGGGUUGUAAAGUACUUUCAGCGAGGAGGCGUUACUCGCAGAAGAAGCACCGGCUAACUCCGUGCCAGCAGCCGCGGUAAUAC
rnacentral:rRNA from 1 species